UGGGGAAUUGUUCGCAAUGGGCGCAAGCCUGACGACGCAACGCCGCGUGGAGGAUGAAGGUCUUCGGAUUGUAAACUCCUGUCGUGUGGGAAGAACGACCCUGUGGUGAACAGCCGCGGGGUUUGACGGUACCACGUGAGGAAGCCCCGGCUAACUCUGUGCCAGCAGCCGCGGUAAUACAGAGGGGGCAAGCGUUGUUCGGAAUUACUGGGCGUAAAGGGCGCGUAGGCGGCCCACUAAGUCAGACGUGAAAUCCCACGGCUCAACCGUGGAACUGCGUCUGAGACUGGAGGGCUUGAAUCCGGGAGAGGGAUGCGGAAUUCCAGGUGUAGCGGUGAAAUGCGUAGAUAUCUGGAGGAACACCGGUGGCGAAGGCGGCAUCCUGGACCGGCAUUGACGCUGAGGCGCGAAAGCCAGGGGAGCAAACGGG
rnacentral:rRNA from 1 species